rnacentral:lncRNA from 1 species
AAAAGGUUGAGAAAAAAUGAUGAGUUCAUUUGAUAUAAAACUUCUUGUGCUGUCAAUGAAUUUACUCUUCGUCGCCCUAUUAGAAGCAAAGGCGCAUGUGACUAUUAUAGAUAACGUGAAGAGAGGUACUCUUACGAUUCAUUGUUUUUCCAAAGACAAUGAUCUUGGAACCCACAAUCUAGCAUACGGCAAGUCUUUUCAAUUCAGUUUUUUGCCCAACUUUUGGGGCAAUACCAAGUUUUUUUGCACCUUCACCACUCAGUUCGGUUCAGGAAACUAUGCUGUUUUUGAUCGUCGAAUGGAAAUUCAAAGAUGUGAUCAUGACUGUGUGUGGUACAUAGUGGAGAACGGGCCAUGUUUAGUGCAAAGCAAGCGGCAAGACUUGUGGUGUCAACCGUGGAAGAAUCCAAAAAAAUGGUUGCAUGAAACACAUCAUAAUUGAGUGACUAAAUGCGAUAUAUCAUUGAAGGCAUUUCUAGUUGAAGUGCAUUCUUCUCUUCUAAUUGUUGUUGG